UACGAAGGGGGCUAGCGUUGUUCGGAAUUACUGGGCGUAAAGGGCAUGUAGGCGGUUUGAUAAAUUAGAAGUGAAAUGCCUGGGCUUAACCCGGGAAUUGCUUUUAAGACUGUCAGACUUGAAUCCGUGAGAGGACAGUGGAAUUCCCAGUGUAGAGGUGAAAUUCGUAGAUAUUGGGAAGAACACCAGUAGCGAAGGCGACUGUCUGGUGCGGUAUUGACGCUGAGAUGCGAAAGCGUGGGGAGCAAACAGG
rnacentral:rRNA from 1 species